GUUCUGUGGUCACAUACCACAUCUCAUUGAUCCUGAGAUGCACGUGUUUUUGAAUUUUAACAUCUCUGGUGUCCUAUUUGGUGGAAUCUUAGCUUUGAAUUCUAGUUUGCUAGGCAGUGGUUUUCUUUUUUACUGACGUGAAAUAAGGAAGUUUGAGAAAUGCUGAGAUACACAAGUUUGUUAUACAACAAAGAAAUGCAACAAAUAUCUUAUAGCAAGACUUUCCAGAAUCUUCUGUGUACUGAGGUGAUUGUGAAUCACCGAGAAGUUAUCAUACGCAGACUUCCCUAAAUGCAUCCGUCCAGUCACUGGGUUUUGUGAGCAUUAUUGUUGAGGCUUAGGAUUCCUUUCAGGAAAUGCUGCUCUGGUAGUUGUGACGGAUUUGAACACAGUUAAGGGAAAAUGUUCACAUUUCAAAAUAGUACCUGAGUGUGAUCAGAGGUCAUUAAAUGAUAAACUCAGUUGAGUAUCAUUACAUAAAAGACAGAGACCAUUUGGGGAAAUAUGCACAGAACUGUUCACAUUCAGCUAUAGUAGCAACUGAAUCAGUAUCAUUUUUAGGGAACUAAUCCCAGUGAACAUUCAGUUCAUCAGAAAAUUCAUGUAUCUGAUAUAUAACCUCCUGCAUUAUUUUGAUUCGUAGAAGUUGAUAAAAAUGCUUUAUUAAAUUAGACUGGCUCUAAGCUGCUGGCCAAUUAUUCCAGUCACCCCAAAAGCUCAUUACAGAAAAAAAAUUUUUUAAAGAAAGGAGAAAAAAACAAGCAAGCAAGCUUAUAAAAACUUACAGAAAGCUGUAAUUUAGCAUAAGAAAAAGUAAAUCUGUCAUUCAUCCCUUACCAAAGGUGACGGGCAAGUUCAGAUUUUUGUAAGUGAAAAAAAAAAUACUCUAUUUGGAAUGUUUCAAAUACAAAUAAUAUUUACUAUUUUAAAAUGUGUAAUUUAAAAGGCGCAUUUUCAUAGUCUAGCCCCUUUUCACUGUACUAUUAUCCUGUAAGGUAGAUGGGACAGUCACUCUUUGCCCUCAGAUACUUGUCCAUUUGCUUGUGUAAGCGGCAUUUAUCAAGUGUCUACCGGGUUCUGGACAUGACAUGAGGCUUUGAUGAUAGAAAGGUGAAUAUGAGAACAUCCCGUUCUGUAGAAGUUUGCCUCUGGUAGGAGAGAUGGAUAAGUACAACAAAUCAUUGUAAUGCAGUAUGACAUUGAGGCUUAGAAAGGUUAAUGACUUACCCAAGGGAACUCAAGUCAAGAUUUGACUGGUCUGAUGAUUUAAAAUUCCCUGUUCUCUUCCGUAAGAGACCUGUUCCUGUCUUUGCAGGUAACAUCAUGACGAUAUAGGACUUGAAAUUAAUCAAACAUAAAAUCAAACAUAUUGAACUUUGAGAGCCAGAAAAAAUGUAGAGAUUACACAUUUCAUAGGCCUGGAAAGUGAGCCACAGAGAGAAGAAAAUGGAUUUGCUCAAGGUUAUACAGUUAUCUAAUGACUGAAUUAAGAUUAGAAUCAAAGUUUGUUGACUCUCGGCCCUUUGCACUGUUAGGUGCUGGCCUAUGGUAAGAGACGGUGAGGAAAAGCGUUAGCAGAGUCUGUUUCUACUGUUGUGCUGUGUGGGCUCAUCUCAGUAAAGGCCUCGGGCGAUUGUUGCGUCUGAUAAAAUGCCCCAUGACUAAGCACUUAUUUAAAGAAAUAUUUCUAAGAGGAACUGCAAGGGGAUUUCAGCCGAGUUCCUUAAAAAACAGCCACUAUCCUUAAAAGUUGAAGACAUGUCUGAUAAAAAAUGAAUAUGGGACAUUUGGGGAAAUUUGCACGUAUUAGAGACUAUUAAUGAAUUAUUGCCACUGGUUUAAGUGGGUUUGCGAUUAAUGCUGUUUUUGUAAAGGAGUUCUCGUGUCUUAGGCAUAUAUAGUGAAAUAUUUGCCCUGAAAUUGUGUGAUGUCUGCUACUAAAAUAAUCCAGCUUUCUUUUUGGUAGGGGCUCGGGGGGCAAUGAAGAUUGUAAAUGAAAUAAGAUGCGGGACACCAAAACCAGGAAGUAGAAAACGCUUUCAGGAUGUGUCGAGCAUUCCUUCCUGCCGUCACAUCAUGUUUGUGCUUUAAGUCAGUGGCUCCCAGCUGGUGGCUGAAUACACCCUCAGGACACCAGGAGACACAUAAUAAUUUCUUUGUUUCACUAUAUAUUAUAUGAUGCCCAAGAUGAAAUGGUGCCAGGGAUAAUUGGAUGCCUUCAUGGAUUUGUUUUAUCAUUUGGCUCUUGGAACCAGAAGUUCUAGGCAUACCUUCUCUGCCACUUUUUUAUACUUAAGGUAUUCACUUCUAUGCUCCAAGCCAAGAAGAGUUUUUCCAAUCCAUGCACACUGUGAGACCUGAGAUACCCAGGAUUGAGAUCUCUGCGGGAACUUCUAACAGUAAUGGACACUUACUAGUGGGUGCAUCUUGUCAGAAAUGCAAAUGUUGUGCACAAUGCCUCCAAAGGCUCUUCAGACAGAAUAAAUUUUCAUUCCCUAUGUUGCUCUACUUGCUUUCUA